ACACUACAUCCCAGGUGCAUUCCUGAAAUACUUGCUGGGUGGAUUGAGCUUAUUCUGGGGCCUAUCCUGCUUGAAUAUGCAAAGGAUUCCAGUGUUAUCUGGUAUAUCUGAUGCGGCAUUGACCUAUACUCUCAUAUCUUAUCUUCCUACUCAGUAUGCAACCAGAAAAUGCUGGUGCUGCUGUACUACUGAGGGCAGUGCCUCCCUCCAACAACUGCUCCGCAGUGUGAGAUGUGGCCACUCACACAGACUCCUAAUACAGCCCACCGCAUGUAGUCUGGCAAGGUUUUGUUAGCCUCUUCCCCACCAAGGAAACAAAGCUUUUGCCUUGUAAUCCUCUGGAACCCAAGGGAGAGCCAUCUGUCUGUCAGUACCAGAGAUAACUUCUCUUCUAGAGGAAUACAAAAUCUGAACCACAGCUGCAGCUGCAGCACUGCUAUCCAAGCUUUACGAGUGUUUUUAAGAGGCAAUUGAACAAUCAGUCCAGAACACCGAUGUUGACCUGAUUUCUGCUUAAGGAACACCUGACUUUGUUUCCCACUUUCUCCCUUCCCACCUCAGUUCCUGGGGUGACAGGGCCAAGUUCCAGCAACAAUAGCUGAGUUCUGGCAUUUUGACAUCCAAACCAGGGAUUGUUGUUGCAAAACCAUGUGCAAUUCAGCGCUGAGCAAUGUGUUCCCUACACACAGCUCAGUGCAGUACACUGGGAUGGUUACUAUUAUCGACACUAUUAGGACAUACAGGAGAGCAUGAUGCAAUAGAAGGAACACCAAGCUGAGAUAAAGGUGACAUGGGGAACUGUUGUAGGCAGCUUGAAGGUAUAACUAUAUGCGAAAGCCCCACUGGUUCUGGAGUUGGCCUAUGGAUUCGCAAUGAAUGGAGCAACCAGAAAGGAAUGCAGAUAUAACGGAGAGCCCUCCCUGCCAUCUGCACCCAUGAGCCCACUGCAUCAUAGGAUUUUUGCAGGCCCUGCCAUACAAAAAUAACCAAAACCAAGUGAAAAAGUGUUUAGUCUUACAAAUCUCAAAAUAAAAGGAACCUUGGAUAUGAGUGAUUCUUUCUCAUCUCUAAACAUAUAUGUACUUCCAUAAUGCUGAACUCAAUUCUUCUUUUCUUUAUCUUGCAUUUAAACAAUAGACCAGGUUUUAUGGUUCUAUGCGAAGAACUUGUUACACAAGCUCCAGUGACUCACAAUCUUGUUGAACACUGUAUUCCCAAGUACUAGCCUCUAACACCAGGAAUCCUGGUAAAUGGAAUUAAAUAUUUUGCAAGAAUAUCUUGCUACAGCAUUUAAUACAUCUCUUGCAUAACUGACUCUUUUGGUGGGAUCUUUACUUUGGAAAGUAAAACAGAUAUAUGCAUGUAUUCAGUUGAGAGGUUGUAACAUGUUGAUACUGAUUUACUUGAGAGUUUUGGCCAAAUUUGGUGUGCUUAUGUUGCUGGGAGUAAAAGGGAG
rnacentral:lncRNA from 1 species